CCUAAAGGCGCAAUGAAAGUAAAGGUUGGAUUUAUGUCAACUGAGGGAGGAUGAGUUAUAUUAUGAUAUAAUUCCGCACUCCCGGUGUGUCUCAUUCACAUUAUGCGAAGAGGCGCAGCCAGAGCGUACACGUUGGGACCCGAAAGAUGGUGAACUAUGCCUGGUUAGGAUGAAGUCAGGGGAAACCCUGAUGGAGGUCCGUAGCGGUUCUGACGUGCAAAUCGAUCGUAAAAACUGGGUAUAGGGGCGAAAGACUAAUCGAACCAUCUAGUAGCUGGUUCCCUCCGAAGUUUCCCUCAGGAUAGCUGGCAUUCAUAAGUUUAUAUAUAAACUCAGACGAGUCUCAUCUGGUAAAGCGAAUGAUUAGAGGCCUUGGGGUCGAAACGACCUCAACCUAUUCUCAAACUUUAAAUGGGUGAGAUCUCUGGCUUGCUUGAAUAUAUGAAGCCAUGAGAUUUCGGAUCAGAGUGCCAAGUGG
rnacentral:rRNA from 1 species